rnacentral:rRNA from 1 species
AGAGUUUGAUCAUGGCUCAGAUUGAACGCUGGCGGUAUGCUUAACACAUGCAAGUCGAACGGUAACAGGGCCUUCGGGCGCUGACGAGUGGCGGACGGGUGAGUAACGCGUAGGAAUCUGCCUCAUAGUGGGGGACAACGUGGGGAAACUCACGCUGAUACCGCAUACGCCCUACGGGGGAAAGCGGGGAUCUUCGGACCUCGCGCUAUGAGAUGAGCCUGCGUUAGAUUAGCUAGUUGGUAGGGUAAAGGCCUACCAAGGCGACGAUCUAUAGCUGGUCUGAGAGGACGAUCAGCCACACUGGGACUGAGACACGGCCCAGACUCCUACGGGAGGCAGCAGUGGGGAAUAUUGGACAAUGGGCGCAAGCCUGAUCCAGCAAUACCGCGUGUGUGAAGAAGGCCUUAGGGUUGUAAAACACUUUCAAUUGGGAGGAAAACCUGCCGGUCAAUACCCGGUAGCUUGACAUUACCUUUAGAAGAAGCACCGGCUAACUCCGUG